rnacentral:rRNA from 1 species
GAUGAACGCUGACAGAAUGCUUAACACAUGCAAGUCGAUGGGGAAGUGGUGCUUGCACCAUGGUAACCAUGGCGGACGGGUGAGUAACACGUAAGGAACUUACCUGCGGGACCGGGAUAACAGCAGGAAACUGCUGACAAGACCGGAUAAGGUCAUUAAGCUGCAUAGCUUAGUGAUGAAAGGAGACGCCUGCGGAGAGCCUUGCGUCCUAUUAGCUAGUUGGAGGGGUAACGGCCCACCAAGGCGAAGAUAGGUAGCCGGCCUGAGAGGGUGGACGGCCACAAGGGGACUGAGAUACGGCCCUUACUCCUACGGGAGGCAGCAGUGGGGAAUAUUGGACAAUGGGGGCAACACUGAUCCAGCAAUUCUGUGUGCACGAAGACGGUUUUCGGAUUGUAAAGUGCUUUCAGCAGGGAAGAAGGAAGUGACGGUACCUACAGAAGAAGCGACGGCUAAAUACGUG